UACGUAGGGUGCAAGCGUUGUCCGGAAUUAUUGGGCGUAAAGAGCUCGUAGGCGGUUUGUCGCGUCUGCUGUGAAAACUCAGGGCUUAACCCUGAGCCUGCAGUGGGUACGGGCAGACUAGAGGUGUGGUAGGGGAGAUCGGAAUUCCUGGUGUAGCGGUGGAAUGCGGCAGAUAUCAGGAGGAACACCGGUGGCGAAGGCGGAUCUCUGGGCCAUAACUGACGCUGGAGGAGCGAAAGCAUGGGGAGCGAACAGG
rnacentral:rRNA from 1 species